UACGAAGGGUGCAAGCGUUAAUCGGAAUUACUGGGCGUAAAGCGUGCGUAGAUGGUUCACUCAGUCGGAUGUGAAAGCCCCGGGCUCAACCUGGGAACUGCAUCCGAUACUGGUGGACUAGAGUGCGGUAGAGGAUGGCGGAAUUCCCGGUGUAGCGGUGAAAUGCGUAGAGAUCGGGAGGAACAUCCGUGGCGAAGGCGGCCAUCUGGACCAGCACUGACGUUGAGGCACGAAAGCGUGGGGAGCAAACAGG
rnacentral:rRNA from 1 species